rnacentral:rRNA from 1 species
GAUGAACGCUGGCGGCGUGCCUAACACAUGCAAGUCGAGCGAGAUGUAUAUGGACGAAACUUCGGUCUAGGAAAUAUAUUGACAGCGGCGGACGGGUGAGUAACGCGUAGGCAACCUGCCCCUAACACAGGGAUAGCCUCGGGAAACCGGGAUUAAAACCUGAUAAUGCCAAAUAGUCACAUGGCUGUUUGGCCAAAGAUUUAUCGGUUAAGGAUGGGCCUGCGUCUGAUUAGUUUGUUGGUGGGGUAACGGCCUACCAAGACUACGAUCAGUAGCCGACCUGAGAGGGUGAUCGGCCACAUUGGAACUGAGACACGGUCCAAACUCCUACGGGAGGCAGCAGUGGGGAAUAUUGCACAAUGGGCGAAAGCCUGAUGCAGCAACGCCGCGUGAGCGAUGAAGGCCUUUGGGUCGUAAAGCUCUGUCCUUGGGGAAGAAAAAAAUGACGGUACCCAAGGAGGAAGCCCCGGCUAACUACGUGCCAGCAGCCGCGGUAA